GCUCAACCGGGGAGGGUCAUUGGAAACUGGGGAACUUGAGUGCAGAAGAGGAGAGUGGAAUUCCACGUGUAGCGGUGAAAUGCGUAGAGAUGUGGAGGAACACCAGUGGCGAAGGCGACUCUCUGGUCUGUAACUGACGCUGAGGCGCGAAAGCGUGGGGAGCGAACAGGAUUAGAUACCCUGGUAGUCCACGCCGUAAACGAUGAGUGCUAAGUGUUAGAGGGUUUCCGCCCUUUAGUGCUGCAGCAAACGCAUUAAGCACUCCGCCUGGGGAGUACGGUCGCAAGACUGAAACUCAAAGGAAUUGACGGGGGCCCGCACAAGCGGCGGAGCAUGUGGUUUAAUUCGAAGCAACGCGAAGAACCUUACCAGGUCUUGACAUCCUCUGACAACCCUAGAGAUAGGGCUUCCCCUUCGGGGACAGAGUGACAGGUGGUGCAUGGUUGUCGUCAGCUCGUGUCGUGAGAUGUUGGGUUAAGUCCCGCAACGAGCGCAACCCUUGAUCUUAGUUGCCAGCAUUCAGUUGGGCACUCUAAGGUGACUGCCGGUGACAAACCGGAGGAAGGUGGGGAUGACGUCAAAUCAUCAUGCCCCUUAUGACCUGGGCUACACACGUGCUACAAUGGGCAGAACAAAG
rnacentral:rRNA from 1 species